GCUGGCGGCAGGCCUAACACAUGCAAGUCGAGCGGAAACGACACUAACAAUCCUUCGGGUGCGUUAAUGGGCGUCGAGCGGCGGACGGGUGAGUAAUGCCUAGGAAAUUGCCUUGAUGUGGGGGAUAACCAUUGGAAACGGUGGCUAAUACCGCAUAAUGCCUACGGGCCAAAGAGGGGGACCUUCGGGCCUCUCGCGUCAAGAUAUGCCUAGGUGGGAUUAGCUAGUUGGUGAGGUAAUGGCUCACCAAGGCGACGAUCCCUAGCUGGUCUGAGAGGAUGAUCAGCCACACUGGAACCGAGACACGGUCCAGACUCCUACGGGAGGCAGCAGUGGGGAAUAUUGCACAAUGGGCGAAAGCCUGAUGCAGCCAUGCCGCGUGUAUGAAGAAGGCCUUCGGGUUGUAAAGUACUUUCAGUUGUGAGGAAGGGGGUAGCGUUAAUAGCGCUGUCUCUUGACGUUAGCAACAGAAGAAGCACCGGCUAACUCCGUGCCAGCAGCCGCGGUAAUACGGAGGGUGCGAGCGUUAAUCGGAAUUACUGGGCGUAAAGCGCAUGCAGGUGGUUCAUUAAGUCAGAUGUGAAAGCCCGGGGCUCAACCUCGGAACUGCAUUUGAAACUGGUGAACUA
rnacentral:rRNA from 1 species